rnacentral:rRNA from 1 species
UCGAGAAUCUUCCGCAAUGGGCGAAAGCCUGACGGAGCGACACCGCGUGCAGGACGAAGGCCCUCGGGUUGUAAACUGCUGUCACGCUCUAGGAAUCCCAUGUCGUUAAUAGCGGCAUGGUUGACCAAGGCGAAAGGAAGUGGCGGCUAACUCUGUGCCAGCAGCCGCGGUAAGACAGAGGCCACGAACGUUGUUCGGAAUUACUGGGCGUAAAGGGCUCGUAGGCGGCCAACUAAGUCAGACGUGAAAUCCCUCGGCUUAACCGGGGAACUGCGUCUGAUACUGGAUGGCUUGAGGUUGGGAGAGGGAUGCGGAAUUCCAGGUGUAGCGGUGAAAUGCGUAGAUAUCUGGAGGAACACCGGUGGCGAAGGCGACAUCCUGGACCAAUUCUGACGCUGAGGAGCGAAAGCCAGGGGAGCAAACGGGAUUAGAUACAGUAGUCCCUGAGCGGGCUGGCAAGGCGCAU